GUGGGGAAUAUUGGACAAUGGGGGGAACCCUGAUCCAGCCAUGCCGCGUGUGUGAAGAAGGCCUUUUGGUUGUAAAGCACUUUAAGCGAGGAGGAGGCUACCGAGAUUAAUACUCUUGGAUAGUGGACGUUACUCGCAGAAUAAGCACCGGCUAACUCUGUGCCAGCAGCCGCGGUAAUACAGAGGGUGCAAGCGUUAAUCGGAUUUACUGGGCGUAAAGCGCGCGUAGGUGGCCAAUUAAGUCAAAUGUGAAAUCCCCGGGCUUAACUUUGGAAUUGCAUUCGAUACUGGUUGGCUAGAGUAUGGGAGAGGAUGGUAGAAUUCCAGGUGUAGCGGUGAAAUGCGUAGAGAUCUGGAGGAAUACCGAUGGCGAAGGCAGCCAUCUGGCCUAAUACUGACACUGAGGUGCGAAAGCAUGGGGAGCAAACAGGAUUAGAAACCCUAGUAGUCC
rnacentral:rRNA from 1 species